CCUGGCCCUAAACCUUAAAUUACCCUCAAAUCGCCAAGGAACUACGAGCAAUGCUUAAAACCUAAAGGACUUGACGGUACCCCAUAUUCACCUAGAGGAGCCUGUCCUAUAACCGAUAAUCCCCGUUAAACCUCACCACUAUUAGCCUUUCAGUCUGUAUACCUCCGUCCCAGCUUACCUUGUGAAUGAACCAGUAAGCUCAACCGCCAUCCACUAACACAUCAGGUCGAGGUGCAGCAAAUGUAGUGGGAAGAGAUGGGCUACACUUUCUAUUCUAGAAAAUACGAAAAGUCAAUAUGCAAUCUGACUAGAAGGUGGAUUUAGUAGUAAAAAGAAAGCAGAGCGCUCUUUUUAAUCUGACACUGGGGUGUGUACACACCGCCCGUCACCCUCUUCAAAUGACACUACAACAGUACCUAACAAAAUUUUUUUCUAGAGAAGAGGCAAGUCGUAACAUGGUAAGUGUACCUGAAGGUGCACUUGGU
rnacentral:rRNA from 1 species